AUUGAACGCUGGCGGCAGGCCUAACACAUGCAAGUCGAACGAGUGGCGGACGGGUGAGUAAUGUCUGGGAAACUGCCCGAUGGAGGGGGAUAACUACUGGAAACGGUAGCUAAUACCGCAUACGAUUGGAGCGGCCGAUGCCCGAUUAGCUAGUUGGUGAGGUAAAGGCUCACCAAGGCGACGAUCGGUAGCUGGUCUGAGAGGACGACCAGCCACACGGGGACUGAGACACGGCCCAGACUCCUACGGGAGGCAGCAGUGGGGAAUUUUGGACAAUGGGGGCAACCCUGAUCCAGCCAUGCCGCGUGCAGGAUGAAGGUCUUCGGAUUGUAAACUGCUUUUGUCAGGGAAGCGGUACCUGAAGAAUAAGCACCGGCUAACUACGUGCCAGCAGCCGCGGUAAUAC
rnacentral:rRNA from 1 species